AAAGAUCCUGAGAAUGAUCUUCUGUCACCAGCAAUCAAAGGCACUAGUAAUGUUCUUACAGCAUCAAAGGAGCUCGGUGUUAAGCGUGUUGUAGUGACUUCAUCUGUAUCGUCCAUCACCCCAAAUCCUAAUUGGCCAGCUGAUCGUAUCAUGAAUGAGGAUUGCUGGACUGAUAUUGAGUACUGCAAACAGAAUGGGGUAUGGUAUCCUUUGUCAAAAACACUUGCUGAAAAAGAUGCUUGGAAAUUUGCCAAGGAAAAAGAUUUGGAUAUUGUUGUGGUGAAUCCAGGAACUGUAAUGGGCCCUAUUAUCCCACCUAGCCUUAAUGCCAGCAUGCAAA
rnacentral:misc_RNA from 1 species